rnacentral:rRNA from 1 species
CCUACGGGAGGCAGCAGUGAGGAAUAUUGGUCAAUGGCCGUAAGGCUGAACCAGCCAAGUCGCGUGAAGGAAGAAGGAUCUAUGGUUUGUAAACUUCUUUUAUAGGGGAAUAAAGUUAUCCACGUGUGGCUAUUUGCAUGUACCCUAUGAAUAAGCAUCGGCUAACUCCGUGCCAGCAGCCGCGGUAAUACGGAGGAUGCGAGCGUUAUCCGGAUUUAUUGGGUUUAAAGGGUGCGUAGGUUGUUUUUUAAGUCAGCUGUGAAAGUUUGUGGCUCAACCAUAAAAUUGCCGUUGAAACUGGAAGACUUGAGUGUGUUUGAGGUAGGCGGAAUGCGUGGUGUAGCGGUGAAAUGCAUAGAUAUCACGCAGAACUCCGAUUGCGAAGGCAGCUUACUAAGCCAUGACUGACACUGAAGCACGAAGGCGUGGGGAUCAAACAGGAUUAGAUACCCGUGUAGUC